GCGCCCGUAGCUCAGUAGGUAGAGCGGUGGAACGGUGAUCCACAGUCCCGGGUUCAAGUCCUGGCGGUUGCU